rnacentral:rRNA from 1 species
UGGGGAAUAUUGCGCAAUGGGGGAAACCCUGACGCAGCAACGCCGCGUGAGUGAUGAAGGUCUUCGGAUUGUAAAACUCUGUCUUUUGGGACGAUAAUGACGGUACCAAAGGAGGAAGCCACGGCUAACUACGUGCCAGCAGCCGCGGUAAUA